UACGAAGGGGCUAGCGUUGCUCGGAAUCACUAGGGCGUAAAGGGUGCGUAGGCGGGUCUUUAAGUCAGGGGUGAAACUCCUGGGAAGCUCAACUCCAGUAACUGCCUUUGAUACUGAGGAUCUUGAGUUCGGGAGAGGUGAGUGGAACUGCGAGUGUAGAGGUGAAAUUCGUAGAUAUUCGCAAGAACAACCAGCGGCGAAGGCGGAGCUCAC
rnacentral:rRNA from 1 species